rnacentral:rRNA from 1 species
AGCGAACGCUGGCGGCAGGCUUAACACAUGCAAGUCGAGCGGGCACUUUCGGGUGUCAGCGGCGGACGGGUGAGUAACGCGUGGGAACGUGCCCUCUGGUUCGGAAUAACUCAGGGAAACUUGAGCUAAUACCGGAUACGCCCUUUUGGGGAAAGGCUUGCUGCCGGAGGAUCGGCCCGCGUCUGAUUAGCUAGUUGGUGAGGUAACGGCUCACCAAGGCGACGAUCAGUAGCUGGUCUGAGAGGAUGAUCAGCCACACUGGGACUGAGACACGGCCCCGAAUCCUACGGGAGGGAGGAAGGGGGAAUAUUUGGCAAUGGGGGCAAGGCUGAUCCAGCCAUGCCGGGGGAGGGAUGAAGGGCUUAGGGGUGGAAAGCUCUUUUAACCGGGAAGAAUAUGACGGUAACGGAGGAAUAAGCCCCGGCUAACUUCGUG